rnacentral:rRNA from 1 species
CCUACGGGUGGCAGCAGUCGAGAAUCAUUCACAAUGGGCGAAACCCUGAUGGUGCGACGCCGCGUGGGGGAAUGAAGGUCUUCGGAUUGUAAACCCCUGUCAUGUGGGCGCAAAUUAAAAAGAUAGUACCACAAGAGGAAGAGACGGCUAACUCUGUGCCAGCAGCCGCGGUAAUACAGAGGUCUCAAGAGUUGUUCGGAAUCACGGGGCGUAAAGGGUGCGUAGGCGGUUUCGUAAGUCGUGUGUGAAUGGCGCGGGCUUAACCCGCGGACGGCAGAUGAGACUGCGAGACUAGAGUAAGGGAGAGGGAAGCGGAAUUCGCGGUGUAGCAGUGAAAUGCGUAGAUAUCGAGAGGAACACUCGUGGCGAAGGCGGGUUCCUGGACAUUAACUGACGCUGAGGCACGAAGGCGAGGGGAGCGAAAGGGAUUAGAUACCCCAGUAGUC